GACGGGACCGCACAAGCGGUGGAUGAUGUGGAUUAAUUCGAUGCAACGCGAAAACCUUACCUACCCUUGACAUGUCCGGAAUCCGAAGAGAUUUGGGAGUGCUCGCAAGAGAGCCGGAACACAGGUGCUGCAUGGCUGUCGUCAGCUCGUGUCGUGAGAUGUUGGGUUAAGUCCCGCAACGAGCGCAACCCUUGUCAUUAGUUGCCAUCGUUUGGUUGGGCACUCUAAUGAGACUGCCGGUGACAAACCGGAGGAAGGUGGGGAUGACGUCAAGUCCUCAUGGCCCUUAUGGGUAGGGCUUCACACGUCAUACAAUGGUCGGUACAGAGGGUUGCCAACCCGCGAGGGGGAGCUAAUCCCACAAAGCCGAUCGUAGUCCGGACCGCAGUCUGCAACUCGACUGCGUGAAGUCGGAAUCGCUAGUAAUCGUGGAUCAGCAUGUCACGGUGAAUACGUUCCCGGGUCUU
rnacentral:rRNA from 1 species